CCAAAGGCUCUUUUAAGAGCCACCACUUUAUCAAUGAAAGGGCUGU
rfam:Eurypyga helias contig15645, whole genome shotgun sequence.